rnacentral:rRNA from 1 species
CAGUAGCCGCGGUAAUACGAAGGGUGCAAGCGUUACUCGGAAUUACUGGGCGUAAAGCGUGCGUAGGUGGUGGUUUAAGUCCGUUGUGAAAGCCCUGGGCUCAACCUGGGAAUUGCAGUUGAUACUGGGUCACUAGAGUGUGGUAGAGGAUAGUGGAAUUUCCGGUGUAGCAGUGAAAUGCGUAGAGAUCGGAAGGAACAUCUGUGGCGAAGGCGACUAUCUGGGCCAACACUGACACUGAGGCACGAAAGCGUGGGGAGCAAACAGGAUUAGAUACCCGAGUAGUCCCUGUCUCUUAUAC